rnacentral:rRNA from 1 species
AGACCCGAAACCCGGUGAUCUAGCCAUGGGCAGGUUGAAGGUUGGGUAACACUAACUGGAGGACCGAACCGACUAAUGUUGAAAAAUUAGCGGAUGACCUGUGGCUGGGGGUGAAAGGCCAAUCAAACCGGGAGAUAGCUGGUUCUCCCCGAAAGCUAUUUAGGUAGCGCCUCGUGAAUUCAUCUCCGGGGGUAGAGCACUGUUUCGGCUAGGGGGCCAUCCCGGCUUACCAACCCGAUGCAAACUGCGAAUACCGGAGAAUGUUAUCACGGGAGACACACGGCGGGUGCUAACGUCCGUCGUGAAGAGGGAAACAACCCAGACCGCCAGCUAAGGUCCCAAAGUCAUGGUUAAGUGGGAAACGAUGUGGGAAGGCCCAGACAGCCAGGAUGUUGGCUUAGAAGCAGCCAUCAUUUAAAGAAAGCGUAAUAGCUCACUGGUCGAGUCGGCCUGCGCGGAAGAUGUAACGGGGCUAAACCAUGCACCGAAGCUGCGGCAGCGAACGUAUCACCCAAGACAACUUUACGGAGUUGACGAUUGACGGAGCGAAGCGACGUCAAAGCGUUCAUUAAAGUCGAGUUGGCUUAGGGAUACGUUCGUUGGGUAGGGGAGCGUUCUGUAAGCCUGUGAAGGUGUGUCGUGAGGCAUGCUGGAGGUAUCAGAAGUGCGAAUGCUGACAUAAGUAACGAUAAAGCGGGUGAAAAGCCCGCUCGCCGGAAGACCAAGGGUUCCUGUCCAACGUUAAUCGGGGCAGGGUGAGUCGACCCCUAAGGCGAGGCCGAAAGGCGUAGUCGAUGGGAAACGGGUUAAUAUUCCCGUACUUGGUGUUACUGCGAAGGGGGGACGGAGAAGGCUAUGUUGGCCGGGCGACGGUUGUCCCGGUUUAAGCGUGUAGGUGUGUGUUCCAGGUAAAUCCGGUUCACUUUAACACUGAGGCGUGAUGACGAGGCACUACGGUGCUGAAGCAACAAAUGCCCUGCUUCCAGGAAAAGCCUCUAAGCAUCAGGUAACAUCAAAUCGUACCCCAAACCGACACAGGUGGUCAGGUAGAGAAUACCAAGGCGCUU